UUGAUAUAUGGGGUAUGCUUAAGGACAUAGGUAUACCACCAUCUCUUUUCAGGAAAGCAUAUGUGUUCCUUGUCAAGGACUCCAAAAUGUUAGAAAGUGUGAUUAGAUGCCCGGUUGAGGAUUGUAAAUCGAUUUUGUUGGAUCUAAUGGGUAUUGUUGAUGGAUCAUAAAGCUAAAAUGAAAGGGCAAUUGCACCGGUUACAAUGUCGUCACAAUGAUGUCUUGCCCGAUGUUUCGUUGCUUUAAGUGUUGGGUUUUUAUUAAGUGUAAUAACUAUAGUGAAUGACACUUAUGAAAGUGUGGAGGUUAUUAUGUGAACUUUUUUUGUUGUUGAGAAAUUGAUGUAAGUGUGGAUUGUAUCAUGUUGACUACUUUAUUAUCUAUGAACAAAUUGGUAUUUGGUAA